UUUUGGACAAUGGGCGAAAGCCUGAUCCAGCAAUGCCGCGUGUAGGAUGAAGGCCUUCGGCUNGUAAACUGCUUUUGUACGGAACNNCANNNCNUCUCCUAAUACGAGAGGCCCAUGACGGUACCGUAAGNNNANANAUCGGGUAACUACGUGCCAGGAGCCGGGGUCAUACGUAGGGUGCGAGCGUUAAUCGGAAUUACUGGGCGUAAAGCGUGCGCAGGCGGUUAUGUAAGACAGAUGUGAAAUCCCCGGGCGCAACCUGGGAACUGCAUUUGUGACUGCAUGGCUAGAGUACGGUAGAGGGGGAUGGAAUUCCGCGUGUAGCAGUGAAAUGCGUAGAUAUGCGGAGGAACACCGAUGGCGAAGGCAAUCCCCUGGACCUGUACUGACGCUCAUGCACGAAAGCGUGGGGAGCAAACAGG
rnacentral:rRNA from 1 species